rnacentral:rRNA from 1 species
UGGGGAAUAUUGCACAAUGGAGGGAACUCUGAUGCAGCGACGCCGCGUGAGUGAUGAAGGACUUCGUUUCGUAAAACUCUGUUCUAUGGGAAGAAAAGUACUGUACCAUAGGAGAAAGCUCCGGCUAAAUACGUGCCAGCAGCCGCGGUAAUACGUAUGGAGCGAGCGUUGUCCGGAAUUAUUGGGCGUAAAGGGUGCGCAGGCGGCUUUACAAGUUGGAUGUGAAAUAUUGUGGCUCAACCACAAACGUGCAUCCAAAACUGCAAAGCUUGAGUUAAGGAGAGGUAAGUGGAAUUCCUGGUGUAGCGGUGGAAUGCGUAGAUAUCAGGAGGAAUACCGGUGGCGAAGGCGACUUACUGGACUUAAACUGACGCUCAGGCACGAAAGCGUGGGGAGCAAACAGG